GUCAAGGUUAAACGAAACGUUUAUAAAUUAAUCUGUUUCUGAGAGCAGGUAAGUUAUCGACUGUAAGUAAAACGCCUGAUGAUAGGCAAAACUCCUUUCGCGAAUAAGACUACCACAGAUUAGCCUAUCCUCAGGCACUUUAUAUAAGAAUUGAUACACACUGGAAUAUCGUGUACUUAUUAAUAAUUCAUAUUUUUACUUUUCCUGUGUCUCCAACAAGUUUUGCUCUUAGUACCUAAACCGGGUGCUAGAUGGCUAUAGGUGUCGGUGAGUCUCUAAUUAUCCUAUUCUCUAUUCAUAUAUUUAUUUUCUGCGGUGUCGUUGUGACAUUGUAAUAAUAUGAUAGCGACCAACGACGUGACACAUGCUCUAUUGAAGAUUUGUAAAUUUUCUCUACACCGACCGUAAUCACGCGUCGCAUAAUUUAUUAUUUAAAUCGUCUCAUUACGACGAAUUUCUUUUUGUGCUAAUAAAACGCUUCUCGAAACUGACAGUCUUGCUUACGCGUGGCUUCGUACGAGGUUCAUAGGAAAAAAAGACGUUCUGACUGUACGUUGACUCCUUGCCAUUAUAAAUGCUGACUCCUUAUUUCGUAAUUAUUGUUAUACUGUUUUUUGUUUUAACGGGACUUUGAGUUCUCGUAUUUCAUGGAUGACGUUGCUUGACGUUUAUUAUAAUAACGAUCGUCAAUAGGAUAAUAUCUGAAUCAAUGACGGAUCGAAUUUCGAUGCAAUAUUAAUGACCCUUCGUCAACCUCAAUCAAAUUCUCGUUUAGCAAGGACAAACUCAUAUGUAUAUUUUUUUCCACGUCCCGAUUGACAAAUGCCAAUACGCGACGAUUGGAAAAUUCCAGCGGCACUUCCCUGAUCUGUAGCAAUGAACAAAUGGAAGAGGAAGAAAUAGUUUUGAAUAUCCUUCGAUUAAUUGUUUUGCGGAAGAAAAUUGACGAACAAUACUUCGAGCAAGGUCGGGACUAUUGAAUUUUCAAUGAGGUGAAAAAAAGGGAAAACAUGAAAAAUUGUUGCAAACAGUGAAGCGGAGGGAGGAACAAUACUAAUUGAUAAUAAUGGCAUUUAUUCGCAGUUUACGAUCGCGCGCUUCGCUGGAAAGACCUUCGUUCUCUACGAGGAAUAGUCAUUUUUAUUAUUGACGCUACUGUGCAGUGACGAACGCGGAGGAGUAAAAAGUAAGUGAGUGCAUACAUAAUUUUACUGGUACAAAAGUGCCAUCCGUAUAGUGUGAUUUAUAUCCAUGAUAUUAAUAACAGCACAGUGGCAAUGGUAGAAUUAACUUAGAGGAAACGGAGACAAGAUACUCCGUAUUGUAUCUAUGCUGUCUUACAUAAUAGAUACGGUAUCGUCGACAUUAAUGAAAGCCAUGAAAAUGCAUUACUCAAGUUCAACAGUCAUUUAUUGCAAUGGAUAUAUGUAUGUAAUUAUUUUCGAAAGUCUACGACCAAUUGUUGAAAAAUGUAUAUUCAUGGCUGACUAUUAUCAAACAAUGAUAAAGAAUGACAAGACAACAAUUAUAAAUAAAGUUACUAAUUGGAUAUUUACGUUGCACGUAGAUGAUUUAUGAUAAUACAAUGAAAUCCCCCAAAAACACUUACGUGUAAAAAACUACGCCAAGUACAGGAGUACUGUGUAUUCCUCUAAUAAAAAGUAUUGAUAUCAGAUUAUGGAGGCCAAGUACAUAAGUCACUACAUGUUUGCCUAUUAUAUGAUCUAGCACUGGCCCAUCAUUUUAAUUGUAUUUUCAAAAUUUCUUAUAAUGUUUUCACUACUCUCUUACAUUACUACUGCUUCCCGUAGUUGAUUAUGAUUUAAUGGUCAUUUAAUAAUUAAUAAAACUUUAGGUGAUUCCUUAUCGAGUACUACUUGGCGGGUUCGUGCAUUUCUUGACAUAAAUUCGCGUUCAUUAUGCCAGUCAACAAACUCAAAACCAAUGUCAACUUUCUAUAUACAGUUCAUUCACAAUAACUCGUCAAAAAUAAUCACGGUAAAAGCUUAAUAACAAACAUACAGUUUUAGGAUUUAUGAUAAUACAAUGAAAUAAUAAUAAGCAGAAGCCUGUAUUCCGCGCAAUAGAGCGAUACAGAUAAGGCAGAUAUCAAAUUCAAAUAUUAUUUUAAGCUUGAUAAUCGAGCAUAGUACUAUAACUGUCGGUGUGAUUAUUUUUCAUAAUAAGUAAUCACAGCGUUGGGCAUCCUAUUCUAAUGUUAUGAAAUUAAAGAAUCUACUUAAUCGACUAGUAAUGAUUAGAUUAGAAAGAUUUCAUUUGUAAAAUUAUAUAUCUUAUAUCGGGAUCCAUCUAAUUAAAGUUCUGUCGAAUAAUAUUACGAUAAUGAUCGUGCAAUUACUUUGAAGUAAUGCCAGAUUAGUUUAAAAUUUGAAAUUUGCUGGCGUCAUCUGAAUCUCCUUAACAGUUAAACAUGGACAAUAUGGCGUCCUCGGACGCGUCAUGUUCGAAGAACAGUAUAGAAUUUAUGGUCAACGUCUGGAAUAGUCAAUGAUUCCUUUGAGCCCAAAAGUCAGCAGAAUAAUUCAUCAUAAUCAGCAUCAACCACGAGCCUUAAGGCUAGUCAAUGGUGCCAAGGAUUAAUCACGACGACCAAGAAUUUCAAAACAAGAACUAUGAAGAAUGUCAUUGUAAAAUAGAAACUGCACGAGUAUUACUUAUGGACAAUGAGUUACUGUUAAGUAAUAUAAUACUGAAGUGCUGCUGCUAAUUUGAGGAACUUUGGUGAGCACGUGAAGAUCAGCUGUUUAAUAGUUAGCUGAAAUGGUUCUGCCUUCACUCUAUGUCCUACUCGUUCCUUUUCCGUGGUUCAAAGACCUUCCGUGACGUCACGUGUAGCUGUGAUAUUAGUGGGGGAUACGCACCAAGGAAAAGAACCCCUGAUUCGUUUUCAUGGAAGACUAUCUUGUUGUUAGAAGGGCCAGAACCUCUGGCUUAGGAACCGACUCAAAUAUUUCCUGCACUUUAUCAAGGCUUCGUGUAACAGCUGUCAGGAAUAGACUGGUGACCUGCAAGCUUCAGCCUUAGGAACGUGGCAACGUGGUAAGGGACGCCAUUACAGGAAAAAAAACUUGUUAUGGCUGAAAGCCACAAAGAAAAAGGGCUGUCAAGAAACACCCACCUACUCCAGCAAGUCUUUGAAAAUCAGCUGUUGGAUACUGGAAAGGAACAAAGGGGAAUUUCGAGCCGUUGAAGAGAGCAGAAGUGACACAGAGAGGACACGACAGAAAGGGAUUCUACCAAAAGCUUGACAGUAUCCCAAGAAUCAGAGGAUACCCACUGGAACAAAAUUUCUUGCAAGCAGCAGGUUGGCAGGUAGUUUAAAGAAAUGAACCACGGAUCAAGACACACGAUGUUAUACCGUGAGAAGUUUUCUAGAUUAAGGGUUGUUGCCCUCCCUCACACAAUAUUGAUUCUCAGAAGUACAAUGGCUUCCACCGGCCGUCCAUAGCAACCUCGCGGCUUUAUCGUGGCAGCCAUCCAGUACCUAUCUCUUUAUAACGUAUAUAAUUCUCCAUGACUUUAUGCUUCUUCCUCCCUACCCAGAGUCUACGGCUAUGUGGGUCAGUGUGUUAUUAUCAAAUUCAUCGAUUAAUAUUAUUCCUCAACAGCAGAUUGCGCACGGUAACAUUAGAUACAGUAAAAGUCCACGGUGCUCUAAGGAGGAAACCUUCUCCAAACGACAGUUCACGUUGACCGCCAUUACCCAACAUAUCCGACAACGAUCAAACUAAUGUCACGAUCAAUAUCUUAGCCUAGUUUCCGUUUAUACAUAUUUAUUAUUAUUAUUUGUAUAUCUUAUUUCGACAAAUGGCUAUUAGUUUUCGUUAGAUACCAGAAUACCCGAAUUAUGAACGUUAUUUUUUAAUUAGAAUUUUCUU